UACGUAGGGUGCGAGCGUUAAUCGGAAUUACUGGGCGUAAAGCGUGCGCAGGCGGUUGUGUAAGUCAGGUGUGAAAUCCCCGGGCUUAACCUGGGAACUGCGCUUGUGACUGCACGGCUAGAGUACGGCAGAGGGGGGUGGAAUUCCACGUGUAGCAGUGAAAUGCGUAGAUAUGUGGAGGAACACCGAUGGCGAAGGCAGCCCCCUGGGCCGAUACUGACGCUCAUGCACGAAAGCGUGGGGAGCAAACAGG
rnacentral:rRNA from 1 species